rnacentral:rRNA from 1 species
GUUGGUUUUACCCGAAGACGGUGCGCUAACCGCAAGGAGGCAGCCGGCCACGGUGUGGUCAAUGACUGGGGUGAAGUCGUAACAAGGUAGCCGGAGGUGAACCUGCAGAAGGAUCA